GAUGAACGCUGGCGGCGUGCCUAAUACAUGCAAGUCGAGCGAACAGAUGAGGAGCUUGCUCCUCUGACGUUAGCGGCGGACGGGUGAGUAACACGUGGAUAACCUACCUAUAAGACUGGGAUAACUUCGUGAAACCGGAGCUAAUACCGGAUAAUAUAUUGAACCGCAUGGUUCAAUAGUGAAAGACGGUUUUGCUGUCACUUAUAGAUGGAUCCGCGCCGCAUUAGCUAGUUGGUAAGGUAACGGCUUACCAAGGCAACGAUGCGUAGCCGACCUGAGAGGGUGAUCGGCCACACUGGAACUGAGACACGGUCCAGACUCCUACGGGAGGCAGCAGUAGGGAAUCUUCCGCAAUGGGCGAAAGCCUGACGGAGCCACGCCGCGUGAGUGAUGAAGGUCUUCGGAUCGUAAAACUCUGUUAUUAGGGAAGAACAAAUGUGUAAGUAACUAUGCACGUCUUGACGGUACCUAAUCAGAAAGCCCCGGCUAACUACGUG
rnacentral:rRNA from 1 species